UUUAGAAAAUCUUGUUGACGUGUUUGUUGCUGCCUUAUCCAUGUAAAGUAUAUAUGUAUUCUUUUAACUAUUCUUAGUAGGAAUGCAUGAUUAAAACAAACGAUUUGCUGCAGUUUUUUUAGACCUCACAGAGAUCUUUCCCCCUUGUUUUUUGAUGCAAACACAAGUCUUUCCCAAACACACUAAUUAUGUACAUGUCAAAGAUUAUAAAUGACAAAAGAUUUGUCAAAGUCUGCUAGCAUAACACUCAUUCCAAUUUCAAACUUCUGCUCAAUAUUUUUUUUACGAUAGAGGUUUAUCAUUGUUUAUUUUUUUCUUAGUUUUAUCAUGGUAUAUGGUUUAAAUAUAUUUUUGGUUAAUUAUGAUUGGCAAUUGGAGAUGCUUUUAUUUAAGGCUUAAUACUUUAUAAUUAUUGAAACACUUAAUAUUUUAUAAUGCAAAAAACUUAGCUAAAUGCAUAUCUGAAUUACUUUACUUAUUUUUUCAGCUGAAUCUACUCAACAAGCAGCUGCUGAGCUCCCCCCUUUUCCCACUACUAGGUGUAAGAGACCUAAUGCCAAUGGUAAUAGGAGAACCUCUUCCGUUUGGCUUGAUUUUAAUCCAUUACCCAAUGAACGAGAACCUACAACCGCUUGUAAACACUGCCAUAAAAGAUAUCGUUGUGAUUCUAAAUUAAAUGGGAAGUCCAGCAUGUUAGCACACUGUAGAGUCUACCUUAAGAAAUCAGAGAACAUGCUAAAUGACCCUAGGCAAACAAAUCUUAUAAAUGGGAAGGGUGGUUUUCUACUACUAGGUGUAAGAGACCUAAUGCCAAUGGUAAUAGGAGAACCUCUCCCGUUUGGCUUGAUUUUAAUCCAUUACCCAAUGAAUGAGAACCUACAACCGCUUGUAAACACUGCCAUAAAAGAUAUCGUUGUGAUUCUAAAUUAAAUGGGAAGUCCAGCAUGUUAGCACACUGUAGAGUCUACCUUAAGAAACCAGAGAACAUGCUAAAUGACCCUAGGCAAACAAAUCUUAUAAAUGGGAAGGGUGAUUUUCUAGUUUCAGUUAGCCAAAGGUACAAUGCAAAAGAUUGUAGGGAUUUUAUUUAUGUAAUACUAAUUAAGAGUAAUUUAAUGUCAUGCAGGAAUGACUUUUUUGGAUAUUUUGGAGUCAAAUAUGACUCAAUACUAAUGCACAACACAUGCAUAUGCUUUUGAAUGAUAUGGAAUGUAACAUGCUUCAUUUUCUUAGCUCCAUGAUGAUUGUGGAGUGUGGACAUGGUUUGAUGUUGAUGGAACUGUUUCAGCCGCUUGUUAAACUGGUUAAUACUUAAUUAUUGGUAAGCAACUGUAUGUGGAACUGAGCUGCUUGUUUAUAUUAUUAUCAAUUCUUACAAAAUUUGCUUGUGGACCUGAUUGUAUAUAUUCUUAAGACAAUACAAUCAAGUUAAAAAUUAAUUAAUAAACUGUAUGAUCAACAUUAAGAACAUAAUAGUAAACUAUAAGUUAGUUUAUGUAAUUGUUUCAACAAACACUUGUUGUAAUUGUUUUACUCAAAUAUUGGAUGCUGUAAUAUAUUAUAAUACUUAUACUGUUGAUAUUGUUGGACAACUGUAAUAUUUACUAAUAUUGGCUGUGUUGUGCAAGUUUGUUGUUAGUCAAUGCAAACAAGUUAAUAUAAUUUAUAUUUUGAACAAGUUUACAAAUGGUGUUGGUGCUAACAAGUUCUAUGUAAUAUAUUAUGGCAUAAAAAUUGCUCUUGAUUUUUACUUAAACUGAAAACUGACAGGCCAUAAAGAUUAAGAUGAAUAGCCAAAUUAUUAUUCUUGGUUUUAUUGAAAACCCAAAUUUCAGCUUAUGAUUUGGUUAUGUUAAAUUUUUAAAAUAUAUGGAGUAGAGAUUGAUAUAUACAAAACCGAAUUAAUCGAACUAAGCUGCACAUUUGACCGGCUUAACCGUUUACACCGAACCGACUAAACCGAU
rnacentral:lncRNA from 1 species